GUCAAUGGCCAUACCACCCUGAACGCACCUGACCUCUUCUGAUUUUGGAAGCUAAGCAAAGUUGGGUCUGGUUAGUACUUGGGUGGAAGAAGUCAAGUCAUAAACC
rnacentral:rRNA from 1 species